rnacentral:rRNA from 1 species
CAGCAGCCGCGGGAAUACGUAGGUGGCAAGCGUUGUCCGGAAUUAUUGGGCGUAAAGGGCUCGCAGGCGGUUUCUUAAGUCUGAUGUGAAAGCCCCCGGCUCAACCGGGGAGGGUCAUUGGAAACUGGGAAACUUGAGUGCAGAAGAGGAGAGCGGAAUUCCACGUGUAGCGGUGAAAUGCGUAGAGAUGUGGAGGAACACCAGUGGCGAAGGCGACUCUCUGGUCUGUAACUGACGCUGAGGAGCGAAAGCGUGGGGAGCGAACAGGAUUAGAGACCCGUGUAGUCCCUGUCUCUUAUAA